rnacentral:misc_RNA from 1 species
UUACUGCGAUAAGCAGUGUGACCUGCAGAAAUCAGCGAAACACUCGAUCUUUGAACGCAAAAGGCACUCCCUAGCUCUGCUAGGGAGUAUGUCCAGUUCAGUGCCUGAUCUUUUUGCUAUCCCCAAUGGAGUAGCGUGAAUGGGCCCCGUGCCGUAUGGUACAGUGCCCGAACUCUACGAAGUGGAUCUUUGUUGGUGAACAUCAUACAAAGGGAACAACCACUCAGCAAUGACACAUCUGUACAAAGGUCUGAACUUGGGCAAGGCUACCCGCUGAGUUUAA